GGGCCUGUGGCGGAAUGGUAGACGCUGCGGACUUAAAAUCCGUUGUCCUUCGGACGUGAGGGUUCAAGUCCCUCCAGGCCCACCA
rnacentral:tRNA from 1 species